rnacentral:tRNA from 1 species
GGAGGGUUCGCCUAGUGGCCGAUGGCGGUGGUCUUGAAAACCACUAGAGCAGCAAUGCUCUCAAGGGUUCGAAUCCCUUACCCUCUG